UACGUAGGGGGCGAGCGUUGUCCGGAAUCAUUGGGCGUAAAGCGCGUGUAGGCGGCUCGAUAAGUCCGGUGUGAAACCUUGGGGCUCAACCCCAAGCCUGCACUGGAUACUGUCGAGCUAGAGUCCGGGAGGGGAGAGCGGAAUUCCUAGUGUAGCGGUGAAAUGCGCAGAUAUUAGGAGGAACACCAAUUGCGAAGGCAGCUCGCUGGGACGUAACUGACGCUGAGACGCGAAAGCGUGGGGAGCAAACAGG
rnacentral:rRNA from 1 species